rnacentral:lncRNA from 14 species
AUUUUAGCCUGCUGGAUUAUGAUGUGGUGCUCUAGGAGCUGCGCGCAAUUGUCCCGAGUUUAUUUGAUCAGGGUCCCAGCUCCAGAUGUGGAAGAAAUCAGAGAACUGAUGUCUCUCUAAAGCAAACUAUGGCAACUGGACUGUCUGAUAGGUUUUGGCACUGGGAGUUCCCUGAGCCCAUUACUGUAGCCCUGGAUAGUCAGGGAAAGAAGGGAUUUGCAAGUUUGAGAGGCCUGAGGCUGACCUAUUUGAAGCAGCAUUUUAAUUCUGUGCCACCUGUGUUGUUCCCCUUCCCUUCUGUUGUGUUUUAUGAGCAUCCAGCACUUCUGCAAACCCUGCCUUGGCUCUUCAGGUUGGAUAACCAGGGACAGAGGUUUCUGUCCUGGGACUAUGGCUGCCUGAGAUCUGUAAAGUGGAGCUGAUGAAACCAUUCACAGCAGUGAGAUGUGAAGACAAAUGAAGCUGUGUUUAUGGACUGCUUGACUGUUGUAGUGAUGCAUGCCAUGUAAUGAUUUUACAUUCCAUUCAAGACUUUGUGCUGCAAGUAAUGUGAAGGUUUUGUGGUGUCGUAAAGCGCAAAAGGAGCCUGUUUAAAAGCUGUGCAGGUGAAUUCAAUUCUGG